GUACUUGCUUCAGCAGCACAUGUACUAAAAUUGGAAUGAUAAAGAGAAGAUUAGCAUGGAGUUUGCACGAGGAUGACACACAAAUUCUUGAAGUGUUACAUAUUUUU
rnacentral:snRNA from 1 species